CAAGACCUGCGCUUUUGGAGCGGCCGAUGCCUGAUUAGCUUGUUGGUAAGGUAAAAGCUUACCAAGGCUUCGAUCAGUAGCUGGUCUGAGAGGACGGCCAGCCACACUGGGACUGAGACACGGCCCAGACUCCUACGGGAGGCAGCAGUGGGGAAUUUUGGACAAUGGGGGCAACCCUGAUCCAGCCAUGCCGCGUGAGUGAAGAAGGCCUUCGGGUUGUAAAGCUCUUUCAGCCGGAACGAAACGGUUACGGUUAAUAUCCGUGACUACUGACGGUACCGGAAGAAGAAGCACCGGCUAACUACGUGCCAGCAGCCGCGGUAAUACGUAGGGUGCGAGCGUUAAUCGGAAUUACUGGGCGUAAAGCGUGCGCAGGUGGUUUUGUAAGUCAGAUGUGAAAGCCCCGGGCUCAACCUGGGAACU
rnacentral:rRNA from 1 species